rnacentral:rRNA from 1 species
AUACGGAGGGGGCAAGCGUUGUUCGGAAUUACUGGGCGCAAAGCGCGCGUAGGCGGUCUGUUUAGUCAGGCGUGAAAUCCCUGGGCUCAACCCAGGAACUGCGUUUGAAACUGGCGGACUAGAGUUCGGGAGAGGAGAGUGGAAUUCCCAGUGUAGAGGUGAAAUUCGUAGAUAUUGGGAAGAACACCAGUGGCGAAGGCGGCUCUCUGGACCGAUACUGACGCUGAGGUGCGAAAGCGUGGGGAGCAAACAGGAUUAGAAACCCUAGUAGUCC